CCUGAUGGCUGAGACAGUAAAGAAUCUGCCUGCAAUGCAGGAGACCUGGGUUCAAUCCCAGGCUCCGGA
rnacentral:tRNA from 1 species